rfam:Oryza meridionalis cultivar OR44 (W2112) chromosome 1, whole genome shotgun sequence.
UUUAAGGGCAAUCAUAAGUUUUCACGUCUAACUUUGACUGUCUGUCUGUCUUAUUUGAAAUUUUCUUAUAAUUAGUAUUUUUGUUGUUAUCAUAUGAUAAAAUAUGAAUAGUAUUUUACUUAUGUUUUUAAUUUUUUUUUAAAAAAAUAUAAAUAAGAUGGAUGGUCAAAGGUGCGGAAAAUCAUAGCUACACGUAGG